rnacentral:lncRNA from 1 species
GCCCAUUUUAUCAGCGUCUUAAAAGUAUUUACCCUGAAACACGCCUUUUGUCAGAAAACUACAUAAGAAAUUAUGCAUUUUAAAUUUUGAUUUACAUUUAGUCCUGAUGACUUGUCUCUUUUUCUCAUUACUUUUUGUAGAUAUAAUGGAUGCCUGGGCUGGAAAGAGUCCUCACGUUCUACUCUCCAAAAUUGGUGCUUACAAAUUAUUCUACUGGGAUAUCCAACAAAUUGGUCCGGACAUGGAGUUGGAAAGUGAGGUACAGUGAUCUUUACUGACAACAAUGCAACUAUCAGUGUUUUAUUGCUUGACAACAGUUAAAAAAUGUUUACAUUUUGUAUUCGCAGUCUAUUAAUGCAUAUCUUGCGAUCAUGGUGAGACAAUGCAAUCGCCAUAAUUCAGCCAAAGCAGCAUUCAUUGAUUCAUUUUCAAUGACUGCCAUUUGGAAGAGAAAAGCUCCAAGACUCAAGAUCAAACCCAUGGAGCAUGAAGUGAUUCUGGGAAUUGUAAAUGAACAUCAUCACUGGACAUUAGUGGUAAACAAAAUAAUUGCAUUUACAAUAUUCAUCAAAUCAGUUUUAUAAGAAAAAUGCAUGGCAUGCAGAUAAUCUUAAGUCUUGAAUUAUUACAUGUAAUUCUCCACAUAAUUUUACUGUAGGUCAUUUACCCACAAGAAAAGAAGUCGCUGUAUCUUGAUCCACUCGGAGAAACUAAACAAGGUAUCCAAAAUUGUUUGGAAUCAACAAGGUAAGGAUAACUGCUCAAAUUUAUUUCGACCCUUUAUUAAACUCUUUGUUGCUUUUGUUAUUUUGUGUUUAUUAUGACAAUUACAAGUAUGAUGUCAAUCAAAAAAUAAAUGGUACUCAGAAUUAAAAAACUAGCAGCAACAGGUUUAAAUUUUUGUGUUCGUCUUCUGAUAUUGUGGUGUUAUGGGUUAAUUUUGCCUUUAAAGAGAAGUCUCCCCAUGUUUCAAUGUUUAUUUGAGGACCUGAUGUCUGUAUGAGAUGAUGUUUUACAUUAGAAAAUAUAGCACGGGGAUAUUAAUGUUUAGUAGUUGCAUAAAGUGUUGCGGAGGUUUAGCACUAAAACAUCAGACAAAUGUCUAAAAUAAUUCCACAUAGGUUAUACAUGUGUGAAUUUCAUCUUUGCUUCUCCUCCACAUCUCUUCAAAGUGUACUGUGUAAGUGAUUGAUUUCUAUAUCAUGGGAGGAAACAGGAAAAUAAAAGCACAAGUAAUUGUCCACGAAAAUGCGUUGUAGACUUUUAAAAAGUAAUGAUUUUAACAAAACAGUGUGGUCAGUGUUCUUAACUUGAUGUUCAACAGACACUUAAGCUCUCCAUACUGUUCAUCUUUUUGUGUCACCAAAAUUUUAAAACAUGUUAUUUGUUUUUAUUGUACUUGUCUUUCAGGGCAUUCAUGCGAAAAAAAGGAUGCAACGUCUCAAGGUGGACUUGUGACACAGUCAAACACCCAAAACAAUUGGACGCUACCUCAUGUGGAGUCUUUGCAUUGAAAGUACGAGUCUUAACCGUAAUACAUACAUAUAUACAACAAUAUUGGAAAUGUUGUGUUGUAAUAAAUGUUAAUGACAGGAAAAGGAAUAUAAGAUAAUUACACAAAAAAAGAAAGAAAUUGAUUCACAGCAAACAAAUUUCUAUAAAAUAACAUUUACGAUAUUAGCCUAUUUAGUCAUCUUAGAAUCUCUUUUUCAGUUUGCUGAAAAGAUCUUGCAAAAAGAGUCAAUAGACUUUCCGUCUACAAAAAAGGCCAUAAACACACACAGGCUGCAAAUUGCCACCACUCUCCUCCUAGAGACAGGUAACUCAUUUUCCACAAUUCAGUGUUCUGACAUCAUGAAUAUUUUCAUCAUGAUAGCUGUAGAAACAAACCAUAUAGUUGUUUGAAUGAAGUAAUAAGUGCAGUAGGUAGUAUACUCUGUGCUAUUUUUUCACUUUUUAAAACAGAUGACUUGACAAACAUCUGUCUUUUCUGCGGCGAAGAAGAGCAUGAAACUGACAACAAAUGGGUAAUGUCAUCAUGAAAGACUGCUAAAUGUUAUGAUCAAUUCCCAUAAAUGAAAUUUUAACAUUGGGAUUUAUAAUUAUUUAUUUUUUUUACAGAUUCAGUGUGAGAUGUGUUUGCGGUGGUUCCACCAGCUCUGCGUGAAAAGCCCACCACCAGAAGACGUGUUUAUUUGUUUCGCUUGUACAUAGUUGACACUAAAGGUGCACAGCUAGUGUUCUUAUGGCACACAUUGUUGAGAACACACAUAUCGACAUAUAUAUAUAUGUAGAUGUUAAAUUAAGAAGUCUAAAAAAAGAAAAUGGUCUCCAAAGUUACUGUAGUUAUUAGUUAUACUGUGAUUUAUUUUGUAAAUAAACU